rnacentral:tRNA from 1 species
UGCGCUGUUGCCAAACAAGGCGUGGCAGGUGCGAUUAUAGGUCGUGCCAUUUACGAAGGCGGCAUUCAGUUUGCCCAAGCGCAGC